CAUGGAAAUGCUUCAAUGUCCUAUUGCAUUAUAAUUUAACAUAAUCUAACACAAUGUUCAUAGACAAUAUUGUAUACUUGAGUUAGCACUCAGAUAGAAACCUACAGUAACAGUUAUGAAUAUGAUUAUCUGGUUUUCUAUCUCUCUUACAGGGAAACAAAGUAAAUUAAAACUUUAUUCAGUUUUGUUAACAUUAAAAAUUUUUAAUUUAAAUUUAGUUUUUAGUUUAUAUUUAAUUUUAUAAUAAAUUAUUUUAAGAUUUUAUAUUGUAUCUCUUGGAACAUGUGGAAAGGAAUUUUCUAUUUAUUAUUAUUAAUCCAUAAUUUUUAAAAAUGUGUAUUUAUUUAUAAAUGUUACUUAUUUAUACAUAUAAACAAUCUUUUGAGGGAUCCUGCAAGAAAUAUCUAAUUGGGUCCCAUACUAACUGCCCUGACUACAUAUAUAAAUAUUUCAAAAUGAUACUCUAUAUACCAUUCAUAAUGCAGUUAUCUGUACACAGUCUAAUUAUUUCAAAUUAUAAAUACUAUAUUUUUAAUUCAAGAAAAAUUUUAUAUUUCAUAUUUGUAACAUUUAUAAAAUUAGGAAAUUCAUAAAUUCCUAAAUGAGUUUUUUUAAAACAAAAAUGAAUAUACCUGAGUAAUAAAAUUUUAAUCAACCAAACUACGGAAACUGUGAUCAUAGAUAUGGAAAAAGAUACUCUUAGCUGUAUUGGAGAAGAAUAUGAAUCUAUGAUUAUAAACACUGAAAUGCAUCGUAACAUUAUAUGC
rnacentral:lncRNA from 1 species